UACGAAGGGGGCGAGCGUUGUUCGGAAUUACUGGGCGUAAAGGGCUCGUAGGCGGCCAACUAAGUCAGACGUGAAAUCCCUCGGCUUAACCGGGGAACUGCGUCUGAUACUGGAUGGCUUGAGUUCGGGAGAGGGAUGCGGAAUUCCAGGUGUAGCGGUGAAAUGCGUAGAUAUCUGGAGGAACACCGGUGGCGAAGGCGGCAUCCUGGACCGAUACUGACGCUGAGGAGCGAAAGCCAGGGGAGCAAACGGG
rnacentral:rRNA from 1 species